rnacentral:rRNA from 1 species
GGAUUAGGCAUGCAAGUCGAACGGGGCUGAUUUCUUCGGAUUGAAAGCCUAGUGGCGAAAGGGUGAGUAAUGCAUCGAUCAUCUACCCUCGGGCCCGGGACAACAGCUGGAAACGGCUGCUAAUACCGGAUUGUCCAGAAAUGGUAAAGACGGGGACCUUCGGGCCUGUCACCUGAGGAGGAGUCGAUGUCCUAUCAGCUUGUUGGCGGGGUAACGGCCCACCAAGGCAGAGACGGGUAGCCGGACUGAGAGGUUGGCCGGCCACACUGGGACUGAGACACUGCCCAGACUCCUACGGGAGGCUGCAGUCGAGAAUCUUCCGCAAUGGGCGAAAGCCUGACGGAGCGACGCCGCGUGGAGGAAGAAGGCCUUCGGGUUGUAAACUCCUGUCACACGUUAUGAACAAGUCCGGGUUAAUAGCCCGGGCCCUGACGUAAGCGUGAAAGGAAGUCACGGCUAACUUCGUGCCAGCAGCCGCGGUAAGACGAAGGUGGCAAACGUUGCUCGGAAUUACUGGGCAUAAAGCGCGCGUAGGUGGCGAAGUAAGCGAGAGAUGAAAUCCCAUGGCUCACCCAUGGAACUGUCUUUCGAACUGCUUUGCUUGAGGGCGGGAGGGGGAAGUGGAAUUCCUGGUGUAGCGGUGAAAUGCGUAGAUAUCAGGAGGAACGCCGGUGGCGAAAGCGACUUCCUGGCCCGAUCCUGACACUGAGGCGCGAAAGCUAGGGGAGCAAACAGGAUUAGAUACCCUGGUAGUCAUAGCCGUAAACGAUGGGCACUAAGUAGAGGGGUUUU